rnacentral:rRNA from 1 species
GACGAACGCUGGCGGAGUGCCUAAUACAUGCAAGUAGAACGCAGUUGCGAACGGGUGAGCAACGCGUAGGUAACCUGCCUCAUAGCGGGGGAUAACUAUUGGAAACGAUAGCUAAUACCGCAUCCUUCGGGAUGGACAUGCGUUGUAUUAGCUAGUUGGUGAGGGAAAGGCUCACCAAGGCGACGAUACAUAGCCGACGUGUGAGGGUGGUCGGCCACCAUGGGACUGAGAAAAGGCCCAGACUGCUACGGGAGGGAGCCAUAGGGAAUCUUGGGCAAAGGACGGAAGGCUGACGAAGCAACGCCGCGUGGGUGGAGAAGGUUUUCGGGUCGUAAAGCUCUGUUGAUGGAGGAGCGGUAACAAACCAGAAAGAGACGGCUAACUACGUGCCAGCAGCCGCGGUAAUAC